rnacentral:lncRNA from 1 species
UUUUUUUGUUAUAUAAAACUUGCAUAAACAUUCAUCCUGUUAGUGUGAUUUCAAAUAAGUUUUCAUUUUUAUUUUUUUUUUUAACAUUAUACAUUUAAUUAAAGUGAGAAGUAUCAUAUAGCAUAAACAAAUAAAUUAAACACAUACAAAGUAAUAAAAAAAAAAAAAAAAAAAAAAAAAAAAAAAAAAAAAAAAAAAAAAAACAUGAAAAGGUAAGGUAAUGUAGAAUAGGGUAAAAUGGCAUUGUUAGAAGCUAAAAACAUAUACAUAUAUAUAUAUUGCAGAACUUUUUUGACUUAUUAAAAAAAAAAAAAAUUAUGUCAUAACAAUUUUAUUGAUGAGUUAAAAUUAAUAGUAAAUAAAACCACAUAUAUUAUUUUAUUUGCUCAUCCAUUCGUUUGCUCAUUCAUCCGAUUGCUUAUUUACUUAUUUUUAUUUUUUUAACUUAAAAGGAUAGUAGUAAUUUAAUUUAAGUUUUUUUACUUCUUGAAGAUAAUAAACAACUAAAUUUUUCUUACACGAAAAAUCCUGAAUAUUUUAAAACCACCUUUUUCUUCAUUUAUAAAUAUAUAUACAUGCACACACUAUGGAAGAAACACAAAUUGCGAGGGUUUUGGAUUUAUUUAAUUUAAAAAAAAAAUGAUAUGGGUUAUAUUGAUAAGCAAGAGCUCAUAACAAUACUGAAAUCUUUAGGGUUUAUAAUAUGUAAUGAUAUGUUCGUAAAUAAUAAAAAUUUCUACACGAUUGAUGAUUUAAAUGACUUUGUUUAUAAACUUAAAGUAAUUAUUAUGCGAAGAAGAAAGUUGAAAAAUGUAUUCAAUUUUUAAACCCUAACAGUAUGUUUAAAUCUUUUUCUUUUUUGUUAUUUUAUCACUUAAUACUAAUUUUUUUUAUUAUUUUUACUUUGCCAUUACAACAUAGGUUU